GACGAACGCUGGCGGCGUGCUUAACACAUGCAAGUCGAACGGUAAGGCCCUUCGGGGUACACGAGUGGCGAACGGGUGAGUAACACGUGGGUGAUCUGCCCUGCACUUCGGGAUAAGACUGGGAAACUGGGUCUAAUACCGGAUAGGACCACUGCCUGCAUGGGUGGGGGUGGAAAGCUUUUGCGGUGUGGGAUGGGCCCGCGGCCUAUCAGCUUGUUGGUGGGGUGAUGGCCUACCAAGGCGCCGACGGGUAGCCGGCCUGGGAGGGUGACCGGCCACACUGGGACUGAGAUACGGCCCAGACUCCUACGGGAGGCAGCAGUGGGGAAUAUUGCACAAUGGGCGCAAGCCUGAUGCAGCGACGCCGCGUGAGGGAUGACGGCCUUCGGGUUGUAAACCUCUUUCAGCACCGACGAAGCGCAAGUGACGGUAGGUGCAGAAGAAGGACCGGCCAACUACGUGCCAGCCGCCGCCGUAA
rnacentral:rRNA from 1 species